rnacentral:rRNA from 1 species
GCGCAGCAGGCGAGAAACCUCCGCAAUGCGGGAAACCGUGACGGGGUCACCCCGAGUGCCACCCGAUGAGGGUGGCUUUUCCCCGGUCUAAAAAGCCGGGGGCAAUAAGCGGGGGGCAAGUCUGGUGUCAGCCGCCGCGGUAAUACCAGCCCCGCGAGUGGUCGGGACGUUUAUUGGGCCUAAAGCGUCCGUAGCCGGCUCGGUAAGUCCCUCCUUAAAUCCACGGGCUCAACCCCGUGGGCUGGGAGGGAUACUGCCGGGCUAGGGGGCGGGAGAGGCCGAGGGUACUCCCGGGGUAGGGGCGAAAUCCGUUAAUCCCGGGAGGACCACCAGUGGCGAAGGCGCUCGGCUGGAACGCGCCCGACGGUGAGGGACGAAAGCUGGGGGAGC